rnacentral:rRNA from 1 species
AGUGAACGCUGGCGGUAGGCCUAACACAUGCAAGUCGAACGGCAGCACAGUAAGAGCUUGCUCUUACGGGUGGCGAGUGGCGGACGGGUGAGGAAUACAUCGGAAUCUAAUUUUUCGGGGGGGAUAACGUAGGGAAACUUACGCUAAUACCGCAUACGAUCUACGGGUGAAAGCAGGAGAUCUUCGGACCUUGCGCGAUUGAAUGAGCCGAUGUCGGAUUAGCUAGUUGGCGGGGUAAAGGCCCACCAAGGCGACGAUGCGUAGCUGGUCUGAGAGGAUGAUCAGCCACACUGGAACUGAGACACGGUCCAGACUCCUACGGGAGGCAGCAGUGGGGAAUAUUGGACAAUGGGCGAAAGCCUGAUCCAGCAAUACCGCGUGGGUGAAGAAGGUCUUCGGGUCGUAAAGCCCUUUUGUUGGGAAAGAACAGCAGCAGGUUAAUCCCCCGCCGUUUUGACGGUACCCAAAGAGAAAGCAACGGCUAACUUCGUG